AGCCUGAAUCAGUGUGUGUGUUAGUGGAAGCGUCUGGAAAGGCGUGCGAUACAGGGUGACAGCCCCGUACACAAAAAUGCACAUAUUGUGAGCUUGAUGAGUAGGGCGGGACACGUGGUAUCCUGUCUGAAUAUGGGGGGACCAUCCUCCAAGGCUAAAUACUCCUGACUGACCGAUAGUGAACCAGUACCGUGAGGGAAAGGCGAAAAGAACCCCGGCGAGGGGAGUGAAAAAGAACCUGAAACCGUGUACGUACAAGCAGUGGGAGCACGCUUAGGCGUGUGACUGCGUACCUUUUGUAUAAUGGGUCAGCGACUUAUAUUCUGUAGCAAGGUUAACCGAAUAGGGGAGCCGAAGGGAAACCGAGUCUUAACUGGGCGUUAAGUUGCAGGGUAUAGACCCGAAACCCGGUGAUCUAGCCAUGGGCAGGUUGAAGGUUGGGUAACACUAACUGGAGGACCGAACCGACUAAUGUUGAAAAAUUAGCGGAUGACUUGUGGCUGGGGGUGAAAGGCCAAUCAAACCGGGAGAUAGCUGGUUCUCCCCGAAAGCUAUUUAGGUAGCGCCUCGUGAAUUCAUCUCCGGGGGUAGAGCACUGUUUCGGCAAGGGGGUCAUCCCGACUUACCAACCCGAUGCAAACUGCGAAUACCGGAGAAUGUUAUCACGGGAGACACACGGCGGGUGCUAACGUCCGUCGUGAAGAGGGAAACAACCCAGACCGCCAGCUAAGGUCCCAAAGUCAUGGUUAAGUGGGAAACGAUGUGGGAAGGCCCAGACAGCCAGGAUGUUGGCUUAGAAGCAGCCAUCAUUUAAAGAAAGCGUAAUAGCUCACUGGUCGAGUCGGCCUGCGCGGAAGAUGUAACGGGGCUAAACCAU
rnacentral:rRNA from 1 species